UUGGAGGGCAAGUCUGGUGCCAGCAGCCGCGGUAAUUCCAGCUCCAAUAGCGUAUAUUAAAGUUGUUGCAGUUAAAAAGCUCGUAGUUGAAUUUCGGGAUCAGAUUGUUGGUCGUGCCUCGGUACGUACUGGCAUUAUUGGUUCCUACCUUCUGAAGAACCGCGAUGUCAUUAAUUUGGUGUCGUGGGGAAUCAGGACUGUUACUUUGAAAAAAUUAGAGUGUUUAAAGCAGGCGCACGCUUGAAUACAUUAGCAUGGAAUAAUGAAAUAGGACGUUUGAUUCUAUUUUGUUGGUUUCUAGGAUCGACGUAAUGAUUAAUAGGGAUAGUUGGGGGCAUUAGUAUUCAAUUGUCAGAGGUGAAAUUCUUGGAUUUAUUGAAGACUAACUACUGCGAAAGCAUUUGCCAAGGAUGUUUUCAUUAAUCAAGAACGAAAGUUAGGGGAUCGAAGACGAUCAGAUACCGUCGUAGUCUUAACCAUAAACUAUGCCGACUAGGGAUCGGAUGAUGUUAAUUUUAUAAUGACUCAUUCGGCGCCUUACGGGAAAC
rnacentral:rRNA from 1 species